rnacentral:rRNA from 1 species
CAAUAGCGUAUAUUUAAGUUGUUGCAGUUAAAAAGCUCGUAGUUGGAUUUCGGAUGGGAUCUGCCGGUCCGUCUUUGAGAUGUGUACUGGUAGGUCCUAUCUUGUUGUCGGGGACCAGCUCCUGGGCUUCACUGUCCGGGACUGGGAGCCGACGAAGUUACUUUGAGUAAAUUAGAGUGUUCAAAGCAAGCCUACGCUCUGAAUAUAUUAGCAUGGAAUAACACGAUAGGACUCUGGCUUAUCUUGUUGGUCUGUGAGACCAGAGUAAUGAUUAAGAGGGACAGUCGGGGACAUUCGUAUUUCAUUGUCAGAGGUGAAAUUCUUAGAUUUAUGAAAGACGAACUUCUGCGAAAGCAUUCGCCAAGGAUGUUUUCAUUGA